AAGGAUUUAAGUUAAAUGUAAACUGUUAGCCUUCAAAGCUAAAAAUAGGUGUGUACCUAAGCCUUA
rnacentral:tRNA from 1 species